rnacentral:rRNA from 1 species
CAGUGGGGAAUAUUGCACAAUGGGGGAAACCCUGAUGCAGCCAUGCCGCGUGUGUGAAGAAGGCCUUCGGGUUGUAAAGCACUUUCAGUAGGGAGGAAGGUUAGUGUAGUUAACACCUGCACUUAUUUUGACGUUACCUACAGAAGAAGCACCGGCUAACUCCGUGCCAGCAGCCGCGGUAAUACGGAGGGUGCGAGCGUUAAUCGGAAUUACUGGGCGUAAAGCGCAUGCAGGCGGCCUGUUAAGUCAGAUGUGAAAGCCCGGGGCUUAACCUCGGAAUUGCAUUUGAAACUGGCAGGCUAGAGUCUUGUAGAGGGGGUAGAAUUUCAGGUGUAGCGGUGAAAUGCGUAGAGAUCUGAAGGAAUACCAGUGGCGAAGGCGGCCCCCUGGACAAAGACUGACGCUCAGAUGCGAAAGCGUGGGGAGCAAACAGGAUUAGAUACCCUGGUAG